UUCUCAGCUCACUAGGAAUCUGCUUAUCAGCUGUGCCUUGUUCCUGCUCGGCCCAGGUGGGAGACCCCUGAUCAUCUCUUGAUUUAAAUGUUACUCAGGAGGAAAGAAAACAAGCUCUAAGGAGCAAAACAGGUGUCAAGAGUGCCGGCCUGACUGCCGUGGCUCAGACAGGAAGAUUGGGUGAUGUCUGGAAUCGGAGUAACGACCAUCACUAGCACCCUGGAGAUGCUCCCAUCAGGGCAUCUGAUUUCAUCCUCAUGGCCACCUUAGGUGGAAGACCGUUCUUUUCAAAGACAAGCUUGAUGACUGCUGUGUCAGCACGUACAACUACAAGAUAAAUUUCUGCACCGGCUUAGCACUAGAAAUGCAGUUUACAAAAGAUCGGACAAAAAUAUUAAAAACCGGUUGAAACGUCUUAGGCUCAGCUGGUAUGCUUUUAGGUGAGUUAUUAGGGACAGGGCUCUAGGGACAAGAUCAGGGGACAGGGGUAUGACCCAGGUCAGAGCACCUGUCCGCCUAGCCUUUGAAGCCCCGUUUUGGGUUCAUCUAAAUUCCUUGUUCAGCUUUUCCUAGGACCUGAGUUUCUCUGGUUGGAGCAGAGUAAGUUUUCAGGCUGAAUUACUUGGACCAUUGUCUGUGUUUUCUUUUUCACAUAGCCUGUGGGUAUCUGGCCUUUUCAGCCAAGGAAAAUGGAAAUGGUUCUAAACACUCACUUGAGCCAUGAAUUUCAACCGUGUAUUAAUUUGCUGCUUAUGUCUUGAUUUUUGUGUCUUCUGAGAAGCAAUGAGAGGAUACUAGGGCGGGCCUCAAAGGUCCUUUGGGGGUGCUGCAAGGGUCUGGAGCUGGGAUGAGAGAUCAGGGAGAGAGGAACUGUGCCCUCCCACUGUUACCUGCGGUGCAGCUCCCUGCCCUCCUGCGUGCGUAUAUGUAAGGUUGCACUUAAGAUUUCAUUUGGAGAGGAAAGUUUCCAAAAUUCAUUAUGUAGGGAGUAUAGGGCAGAUUGCUCUGUGUCUUACCCUCACCUCACUCUGCAAGGAGUCUGGGCUGAAAAUUUAGGGCUCAACUCUUAUUCCUUCCUCCACAUGAGCUGUAGGAUAGAUUCUGUACUAAGGUCUUAAAUUUUGCCUCUAACUCACGGCUCUUUGCUUUUCAGGGGCAUCAGAAGUAAGAAACCCGGUACUAUCAGUGAGCACAUGCCAUAUGAUGAUUUCUAGGGUUUCAGUGAUUUCUAUGUAUUAUAGAGAUCUUGAAGUAUUUAGCAUUACCCCAUUUUUUUCAUAUAUAAAAGGGUUAGAUCAAGAUAUGAACUCAUUCCUGUCUUCUUUUAAAGCUGUUUCCUAGGAGGAGAAGAUCCAGGGAUGAAGAGUAGGUAGUGGGCCACAUAACACAUGGCAGCUUUGUGGGUGGGGGUGGGAACACAGUGGGAAUAAACCCAAACUGAUGAAUAAAUGAUCAGUAUACGGCUUUGCCCUUUA